UAACAUAAGCCAUGAUGUGUCCUGUCCUGU
rnacentral:piRNA from 1 species